AAACUAGGGAAAACUUCAAAAACCCUCCCUGUGAUUUCGUAGUUUCUCACUUUGCCCCCUGUGGUUUAAAAUGUAUCAAUUUGCCCCCCUGUGAUUUUUUUUUUCUCUUUUUCUUAUCAAUUUCAUUAUUUUUUUUCUUAAAUCAGUGAUAAAGUUAAUUUAAAGGGUACUAAAGUGAAUAUUUGAUAAAUCUAGAUGGGUACCUGAAGUUUUUUGUAUAUAAUUUAAUGAAAUAUUAACGAAAAAGCUACCGAAAAGAUAAAAACGAAACCACAGGGGGGCAAUUUGAUACAUUUUAAACCACAGGGGAUAAAGUGAGAAACUAUGAAACCACAUGGAGUUUUUUUUGAAAUUUUCCCAAAAAACUAACGAUCAAUCAAACAAUGUGGAUAUAUAUGAACAUGCCAAAAUUUUUGGAGAAAUAUAUUUACAAACCAAAAUAUUUUCGAAAGAAUAAAUUUGAUAACUUAAUUAAGCUUUAUAGAAAUAUAUAUUUGUUACUUGAUAUCUUAAUUUGUAGGAAGAUAUAUAAUUUUUUUUUUUUUUUGAGAGAUAGGUAGCACGCUAUCCGCUUCGUUUAUUUCAUUUAUAAAUAAACUUAGCUGAAAAUGUGAAUCAACUAGUAUUCAAACUUGGGUCUCGGGUACCAACCACCAAGCCCUUUGUCACUUGCUAUAGGGACAGUUAGUGAAGAUAUAUAAAAUUAAUCCUAAAAUAUAACUAUUAGACCUAUAGAAACAUAAGCAAGUAGAUAUAGGUUGUUAGCAUGUGAGUAGAACAUGUACAUGCCCAUUGGAACCAAGCAAAAGGGCAAAAAUAAAAUCUUUGGAUGAGACAAAAGAAUGAGUGACACACCACAUGGGCCAUGACAGCUAUGUUUUUGUAUAUGAUGAACUUCUCUCCCUUUCAAAAUCCAGCUAUUAUUUCCACCUCACUCUCCACAUGGCAUUUAUUUUUUUAUUUUUUGGGCAGUGUGAUUGUAAUGAGAAGCAACAUAUAAUUCACACUAUAAUUGAGUCUACAUGCAUCUUUUUAAUUCUAGAAUUUAGGCUAAAUUAUACUUUUUGGUCAUCGAAAAAGUACGAGCACCAGGACGCUCUUGUCCUCAAACUUUAAUUCGUUAUAAUUUGUAACUCGAGUUUUUUGAAUUAUUAUGUAAUCAAGUUUUACAGUUCAAUUUAGUUAGCUAAAUACUAACAAUUUAUUGAUAUGAAAAUAAUAUCAAAGUAUUGUGAUUGAUGAUAUAAUAAUAAUUAAGAUUCUUUUUAUCACUUCUAGAUUAAUAGUUUGUUAAUAUUUAGCUAACUAAAUUAGAUUGUAAGACUUGAUUACAACUAUUCAGAAAAUUUGAGUCAGAAAUUAUAAUAAAUUAAAAUUUGAGGGCUAAUUGUCACGAUCCUCAUCGUUUGAGGGUCAAAAGUGUUAUUUGUUCUAGAAUUUAUAAAACUCUCUUGUAUUUCCGGUAAACGAAAAAAAUAGCGGAUAAGAUUAGUGGUGUAAAUUUUAUACAUAAUUUAUAGAUGGACAGAUAAGGUUGCUUUAAUUUAAUUAGUAUAUAGAAAAAAAAAGUUAUAAAACUAGCACAUAAAUAUUAGUCUUUGGAUCAUUAAAGUGUAAAAUUUAGGGCCAAUUUUUAGGAUUUCCAGGAACCAUUAAUGGAAACUAUAUAUAUACAUACAUCAUCAUCAACACUUGUAGAUUGAGAUGAACACAUUUAUGAGUCAUCACACUUAUCAUGGUGUUGUGAUUAUUAAUUUAUUUGUAUAGGGUGGGUCACAUGCAUGAAAAUGACUACUUUGAAGGAAUUGAUUCCUAAACUAGGGAGACCUACUCUUACCUUAUUUCACAAGGUCUAUUUGGCUUCAUAGGAGGUUCUACAUAAUUUAAGACUAUUUUUAAAUUAUUAUUUUUGAAAAUAAAUUGUAGUAAUAUAUAUUAUAACAUCAAAGUGGAUCUUAAAUCCUUUUUAUUUUGUGAGGUCAUAAUUCAAUUAGCAAUGUUGCCUGUACAAUUAUUUUACAUAUUAUAAAUUUUGUAGGAAUAAUUAUCUAUAUACCUCUCAAAACUUUAAAAAUAUCUAAUUUAUCCUUUUUUUGUUUUCAGUAUACCCUUCAUAUGUUUCACUAUUAUUCAAAAAUACUCCAAUAGUUACAACCCGUUAAAUUAUCUCGGGUUAAACGUGAGUUAAAUAUCUACCUGCAGAGUUAAAAAAAAAUUAAAAUAGCUUUUUUGCCCUUAACUUAGCGGCAAAUAAGAAAAAUUGGUGAUAGUAGAAGGGUAUAUUAAAAAGAUCAAAAAUUAAAAUACUUCUUUUGUCUCUAACUUAAGGACAAAAUAAAAAAAAGUUGGCAAUGGUAGAAAAGAUAUAUUGGAAAGGACAAAAUAAUAAUUUUACAGAGAUAAUGACUAUUGAUAAUAGUUCAUUAACAGAAUUUAACUCCAUGGUAUAUUUGAAAUAACUUGGAAUGUAAGAAGAGUAUUUUUAAUAUUAGCCUUUUAAGAGGGAUAAAUUAGAAAGUUAAAAUCUUUUCAGGGGUAUACAAACAAUUAUCCCAAUUUUAUACAUUAGCCUCUCAAACGCUAAGAUUAAUUUACUCACUAAUUUUAUUUAUCUUUAUUCUACUACUAAAAAUCUAAAAAAAAAAGUUAAAUUCUUGAACGACGGGGUGUAAGAAGUGUAGGGUGUACAGAUAGUAUUUCUCUAGCUAGUUCAAUUCACUACGCCUAUAAACACGUCGCUUUUUUUAUUUUUAAAAUUCGCUUGCUUUCAAUUCAACCAUUUAUUAAUUUUAAAAAAGAGAAUUUUGAAUGAAAAGCAUGAAAUUCACCUCGUCCAAUAUUUAUUUUGCUUUUCGAGUAUAAUAUAUUUAAUUUUCUAGUAAAACUAUUAUAUUUAAUUACUUGUUUUUUAACACUUCGAUUCGAUAGAGAGAAAAGAAGAAAAAAAAAAUCAUCUCCUUCCUGUUUGUAUCAAGAUUUGAGCCGAAAAAGAAAAGAAAAAUCGAAAGAAAUGGGAAAAACAAAUUUCUGUAAAACUUUUUUUUUUUUUCCAAAAGCAAAGAAAAAGAAAAAAAAUUUAUUUACUUUACUUUUUUCCUAGAACUGCAUCAACACGUGUGUUAUAAAAUAUUUAUUUAAAAGUGUUCAUGAACAAUCCAGUAGAUUUUUAAUCUUAUCAAUAAUGGUACAGUAACAUUGUGACAGAUUUAAUUAAUUGGUUCAUAUAUCAUAUACAUAUAUUAUUAGUGGCACCUUAUAAAUUCGACAACACAUCAAUAAUAAAUAAAACUAUAUUGCGAGUGACCAACAAGACCGUCCCUAGAGCAAAUGACAAAGAGCUUGGUGGUUGGUAUCUGAGACCCAAGUUCGAAUCCUAAUUGAUUCACAUUUUCAGCUAAGUUUAUUUCUAAAUAAAAUAAACAAAGCGGGUAUCUUGCUACCUAAUUUCGUGCAUCAUAAGUUCUAUGUAGUAUCAUAAGCAACGAUGUGUUUGGACAUAGAACUAGCCCUUGGAUUCCUCAUGCUAUCAUUGACUUUAGUGAUGUAGCUUACACUGCUUUUUACUUAACUAAUUAAUAAUUGAUGCAUUCAAACAAGAUCUAUACGUAAUAGUACGAAUUCUUAUUGAGUUACAUUUACGUAGAAUCCUUUUUCUUUUUGGGCUAUAUAAUGAGUUCCUAACAUUUGUAGUUUACUGUAGAUAGAUAUUUAUCAUCUAAAUUCUUGUCACUUUCGAUAGAAUAAGUGUGACGCCCCAACUUCCCAGGGGGUCACCCAUCCUAGGACUACUCCCAUCCUAGCACGCUUAACUCUCUUAACCUCUUGGGCCUUGCCACCACCCAAAAUGCUUAAGCCGGGUUAAGAGUUUAGCCCUAUUAUAUCUUAUAUAUAGGACUACCCGGGGUCUCACAAUCUCCACACAGAACCCCGUAUCGGUUUCCCAAAACCGAUUACCGUGACUCGCCGGAAGUCCCGAGAAUCGCACCGGGACUUCGCCGGGACCCACUAACUGUCCCGGAAGGCACCGACUCAUGCCACGAGUCAUUUGCUGCCACUAAACACUUAUUUUAGUGUGACAAGGCAGCAAACACAAGGAUACACAACCAAACAACUAUUGGUGUAUAAUUGUUGGGAUCCGGGUUCCCGGGAGUGUCUAUUUCGACACUGGAACCCACCGUCGCUCACCCGUCAUUUCUGAACUCUCGAAAUGAUGCGAGUGACCAGCCAAUAAGGCUCAGCGACCACGCAAUAGCUCACGAAGCACCGUCGGAAGAAUUCCGAACUAAAACCGCGUUUCGUCGACAGAUUUUGCCGACAAACGCGCCGGAAAUGCAUUUCCGAUCUUCGUAAAAGUCUGGGGCCUUGGAAAAUCAUUCCAGAGGUCACCCACAGCUCACCCAUGCUGCCAACAGCAGCCACGACACAACAAAUUGCAUAAAAGCCCUCCCGAUUCCAAGAAAUCACAUUAUUUCAUGUGUUUUCCGGGCUUUUAUGGUCCGUCUACGCAAAUUAGAGGUCAAUCAGCCGAGACAAGAUACCCACUUAUAGGUUUCGACGUGCCGGAGGCCGUGCUCACCUUUCGGAGCACUGCCGGCUACUGCGGUGCGCGCACGAGCGACGCGAAGUUCUGUUAAACUGCGCGCACAGCGCGAAGUUCGCGACUAACUCACUAACCAGGGCAUAUUUGCCGCUGUCGGAGGUGAGCACGAUGUUCAGCACGAACCCUAGAUCAUCGUGCUCACUUCUCGAGGUCUCGGGGAGUCAUCGGAUCACCGGGAAGGUGGCCGGAAAGCUUAAAUUGCAAAGCUGGAACUCAAAAACAGCAUACCGGAGCAGUGGGAGCUAGGGUUGGUCGCCGGCGGCCGGGAGGCGGGCACUCCGGCCGGGGAUGGGAGCAGCCGGUCCGAGACGUCCGGGGAGGGUGCUGGCCGGCGGCGGGCGGCAACCGGUGGCGCGGCGGAGGAGAUCCACUCCCCCAACUCCCUCUCGGGUUCAAGCUUCCCGGCGGCGCGGCGGCGGCCGGAGGAGGUCGGGGUGGCUACGGUGCGGCGCCGGAGGCCGAGGGGAAGGCGAUGCACCCCACGGUGGGCGGCGGCGGCGCUUGGAAGCCGAGCGGGGCCGACCUCGGCCCGCACGCGUCUGGGCGGCUGUAGGAGCUUCAGGCGGCGGCCGGCGGUGGUCAAGGACGCCGGGAAACAAGCGCGUGAGGUCGCCGACAGCAAAUGGAGGCGGGGCAGCCCGCCUCGAGGCGGAUGCGGCGCGCGGAUGCAAAUAUCGCCCAGGCUCGGCCUGGGUGAUUGCCGGUGGCCGCAGGGAGCUUGGGCGGCUCCGGCGGCGUGCGCAGGCGAUGGGGCCGGCGGCAGGGGUCGCCGGGGCUCCGGGUAAGGGCGUCUCGGCCGUCCCAAAGUGGCGGCGGCCGUGCUAGCAGGGAGCUAAAGGGGGGCGUCACAAUAAGUUAUGUCAACUCAGAGAUAUAUACUACGGUCAUAGUUUGAAAGCUCUCAAACAGUUUUAGCGCCGACUUUUUAAAGUUUGUGUAAACGUUUUAUUACACAUAUUUGGCUUGAUGCUACAAACAUAGGAUACGUUAAAAAAGAUAAUAGAUAUUGUGUGCGAGGUCGAGAUGGCUGUAGGCGUGGAGGACGAUAUUGAAUGUGGUGAAGUUGCGGUAGACGCGGUGAACGAACACACGGGAGAAGAGGCUAGCAAUAAAAUGCGUAGAAGAUGCUUGGAUGUAAAAUAUUAGAGGGGAGAGAGAGAAAGAGAGACAUAUUGCCAAAAAUAAAAUUUUUGCUUUUAAUUUUAUUCUCUCUCUUAAUAAAGAAUAUUAAAAGGGUUCUAUUUAUAAAAGUCUGAUAAAAUAGAAUCCAGAAUCCUUCUCCGAAUCAAAGCGGCGCUCGUUUAUCUAACCUAACUAAGGUUAGAUAUUUAACUUAUAGUUGUUAUAAUUUUCUAACAAAUAUUGAUAGUGGAGACACUUUUACAAAUUAAUGGCAGAUUUUUUAGAGAAAUAAGUGUAAAAAUAAAAAUUUUGUAGGGAUUAAUCUGGAAAGAUGGUCUUUUGCAGGGAAUUCUAUACAAUUAUCCUCUAUUAUUAGAUAGAAUUAAUGCAGCACUAUCCAAUUUGUCUUUUUUUACAUAUAUCAAACCAAAAGAAGAAGGAGAAAUAUUUGGUUUGUCCAUCUAAUUGUCUAGAAAAUGAAAUCCUGGCUUUGCAUAUAAUUGUGAAAUUUGUAUUGUAUCCAUAUCUGAAAUGUCAAUUUCACCUGUUGUUGGUAAUAGAUUAUGUUCUGCUCAUUAAUAAACAAUUUGAACUUACGCAAUUUGCUUAUGUUCAGCUCGAAUAAGCUCAAAAAUAAAUAAAAAAACAUUAAAGAAUAGUAAUUUUGUUAGGAUGUUGUUAGAUUUGUAAUUGAUUUUUAGUUGGAUUAGAAUUAAUAUUUAAAUCUGAUGGAGAUAAAUUAAGAUUUAAAUAUUAGUUAGAGUAGAAAUUUAAUUAGACUAAUUAACUAGGAUUUGAGUAGCUGUUUUUUUUUUUUUUUGAGAGAUAGGUAGCACGCUACCCGCUUCGUUUAUUUCAUUUAGAAAUAAACUUAGCUAGAAAUGUGAAUCAACUAGGAUUCGAACUUGGGUCUCGAGCUGUUGAUGUAAACUAUAAAUAUAGCACAAGUGGUAUUAUUUUGGUGGCCGUAGUGGUAUGAAUUAGGCAUACUGAGGACAUAGUCAAUGUUGUCAUGAUUUUAUAUGCACCUAGUAUAUAGAUGCAACAGGACGUGUACGGCUUUCGUAGCUGUGGCUCAUUGGUAUAUUUUAUACACGGGUGCACAGAAUGAGAGAAAAGUCUCCUUACUUUAUGGAAGACGAGAGAAGGAUGGGGAAAAGUCAGAAAGAUGACUCGUGUUGAAACUACUCUAUUGUAAAAGAGAAAAGUCAGGUAUAAUCUUCUCUUAUUUAGUAAAUUUUAUUUUACCCGCAUAUUUUUUCUGUUUGAUUUUUUUUCUUUUAUAAUUGUGCCAGCUUUUGCUGAGAAGACAGAUUUGUAAUAAAAAUCCGAUUCGAUACUUUUAUUGUAGAAUCCCAACAAUCGAUACUCGAUCAACAAUAGUCGGUAUCGGAGCGGCUUGCGAAUUCUCAAAAUCUGGUAUCAGAGCGAGUACCGAAUUCUCAACAAAUUCCACCAUGUAAACAAAAACUCGAGUUCUCAUGCUAAUACAAUUCGACAUAAUAAUUUGAGUUUAUCGUUUUUUUAAUUUGACAAAGUUUCGUGCAAAUAAGAAACUCAGUAAUCGCUUUUCUAAGGCAAACUCUUGUUCACAAACAACUCAAGUUAGAUUCAAAUACAAGUAAGCUGGCUCAAGUUUAGCGCGUAGACAAGCGAGUUUAGCUCGAACUUAGUUCAGCUCGCUUAUGUUUGGCUCGUUCACAGUUCUAUCGCAAACUUCGAUCCAAAUUUUCAAUUAUCUUCUUCCGACAAACACAUCGAAUCAAUCAAUUCAUCCAAUUCUUUUUGCAUUUGGAUUUUUAGAUUAUAUAUAUAUAUUUUUUUAAAUAAUAUUUUCUUUUCAGUCAUUUUCGUGCGACAUAUAUAGUUUCUUAGUUAGAUUAGCAUUUGGGGGAUUAAUUAAGGAAUGUUAUGAUAAUCCAUUGACAACUACAACUCAGCUAACUCAAAUCAUGAGAAAUAAUUUAACAAAAAUGUGUAGAUAAAGGCCUUAUCUGGUUAGCUUGUAAUUGUACACGUCAGUCAUAUGAAUUUUUAAGAAAUCAUAAAAGCGAAUAAAAAAAAAAAAGCAAUACUACCUAUACUCCCUGAAGUAUGGUAUACAUCUUAUACAUAUACUAUUCAUAUAUAUUCUUGUAAAAAUAUCAAAUAACAGAUAAAUCCGUGCAAAGUUUAAAUGAUCAUAUUUAUCUAUUCGAAAAUUCUUUGGUUUACAAAUAUAUCCUUCUAAAAAUUCUGGUUCAUUCAUAUAUGUUUCUGCUGUUUAAUUUACCAUUAGUUUUUUAACGGUGCGUGCGUAAAAUGACUAUUUUAUCCUUACAAAUUUAUCCCUAUAAAAAGAUAUCUUUCCUUCUCUCUCUCCUUGCCAUCGUCGCUGCAACCGAAGGCCUCACCGUCGACGUCAACGUCGCCAUGGAUAGAGAGGAGAGGGUGAGAAAGAUGACGGAACUUAACAUUAGAAUACAAAUUAUAUAUAUAUAGAGUAAAAAGAUUAUUUUACUCCUUAUCUAACUAUGAUUAGCUUUUUAUGGUUAUCUAAAUUUUGGUAAUAAAAGGACACAUUUACAGACGGGAGGAUGUUUGGAGGAAAAAAUUUGAUAACUUAAAUAUUGUAAAAAUAUAUUUGCUAUUUAAUAUUUUUGUAAAAAAUCAUAUGCAAUUUUCUCAAUAUUUCGUAUAUCCAACAAAAAUACGUACUAAAACACUCUAAAAACUUAAUUUUUCUUAAAAAUUUAAUAAGAAAGCCCGAACGAAUGUGUGCGGAUAUGCUAGCGAUACGCCAUUGAAAUAGCGGUACAGAUCGUGCGAGUGGCAAGAGACUACAAGAAGAAGAUGAUGAAGAAAACAAGAACAGAAGCUGUGGACAAAAAAAAACACUUAAACAAAAAAUGAAAAAGUUAACCAAAAAGGAAGAUUGAGGACCCACUUAAUUAAUUGGCUGUCUCCUUGAUGCCAACAGCCAUCAUUUGAGUUACAGUUCUCCUUUUUUUUUUUAAAUAGAGCCAAUGAAUGAAAAAGAGAAUUUUGUUUAACAAAUUAAACCAAUUUAUGUAUGGUUUAAAUGAUCAUGUAUGUACUUCAACAGUUCAAGAAGGAUGGAUCAGAGCCCCCUAUGAUUUACUCAUUUAUUUUUUAUUAUUUAUUUAUUUUUCAAUACAUGAUUUAAACAAAAAUUUUAUGGACAUACUUCCCAAACAAUCUUGUUUCGGAAUUGUCCUGAUGGACAUCACAUGGUGAGCUGCGCCCAUCCCAACAGCCCAAAAAAAGUAUUGCUUUUGCUAGAUUAAAAUCCUUUUAGGGUUGGGCGCAGCUCGCCAUGUGACGUCCAUCAGGACACCUUGCCAUGUGCUACAUAUCUCUCAAAAAAAAAAAAAAAAAAUCUUAGGGUUGGGAUGGGCGUCGCUUUUUGCUGGGCGGUUGGGCUGGGGGCAGCUCAUCAUGUGGCGCCCAUCCGAAUAAUCCCCAAACAAGAUUGUUUGAGGAAUAUGUGCAUAAAUUUUUGUCCAACAAACCCUCUCCGAUUUAUUCAAGUAAAGCCGAAGUUUGGGAUUUCACGAUUCGAAGGUUAAAAAUGUCUGUAAGUGUUUUAGGAGCUUUUCUUUUCAAUAUUAUAAGAUGAGUGAAAACUAUCAUCAAAGAACCUGAUGGUUUUUACCACUAUUUUGUAUCAUUAAAGUAGGUAAGAGUUCAUUGUUCAAUUCUUUCGGUUUUUAAUGGAUAAAAGUGGUGUGAUUCGACACUAUAGUCCCAAUUUUAGGACUUUACGGGGUAAGAGCGAUUGAGGGCCGCCUAAUGCUACUGAGUAAAAAUGAGAAAAUUACUUCUCCCUUCUGAUAAUAGACUCUUAACUGACUUAUUGCAAUAUACACGACAUAAUGUUACUUAUGAAAAUAAAUAGAACAUAUAUUUCUUUUGUAUUUUUUCAGCUGCACGUAACACAAAGCCCGGCCGUCGCAAUCCCAAACGAAAUCAAAGAGUUCAAGCUUGACUCUAUCAUUGCAUGAUCCAAAAAUAUGGGCUUAUCCUUGAUUAGCUUUUAAUCCAAAUUGACUACAAGUUGAAUUUAAUUAAAAAGCCAAGUCAAAAUUUUCUUUGUUGAUAAGAUAACAGCUAAUUGGCUACAUCCGUUGUCUCUCUUCAAUCUUAUCAACUAGGAGUUAUUGCAUGCACUCGUUCACGACACGUCUCAUGCAUCACACCGUAUUUUUAAGACCAAUUUGCAUAAAAAAAUCUAUUAAUUUUAAGUUUUUGCAAAAAUAGGUCAUAUUUUUAAAUUUUGCAUAUUCUGAUCGAAUUUCAUAAAAAAUCUACUAUUUUUAAUGCCGUAUCUUAAAAUCAAAAUCCACUCAAGUAGAUGUGAUCUGCAGACUUAAUAAUCAAUGGUGGAGAAAGAACUGUUAUUUGAUUUAUGAGAAAUAAAAAUAAAAAAUUUGUAAUUUUUUGUAGGUAGGCAUUUUAAAUAUCGUAAAAUAUAUUCAAUAAAUUAGAUUUUAUAAAUUAAAAUAUCUUUUAUGAUGUUUUAUAAAGGUUUGGUUUUGGUGCAUGCAAGCAAUAAUUUGCUGUCACGAGAGGAAAUGUAUUUUUCAAAACAACAUAAUCACACUCUAUCUAUAUCUAAAAGCGUAUAGAAAUUUCAAUAAUAACGGACGAAAUCCAAAUAAGAAUAAACGAAUAUUCCCUACAAAUGGUUAUGAUUAAUUUGUUAAAAAUAUCUCAAAUAAAAACGAACGGUUAUGAUUAAUCUAUUAAAUAUAAAAAAAUAUUCCCCUACGAAUGGUUAUGAUUAAUUUGUUAAAAAUAUCUCAAAUAAAAACGAACGGUUAUAACCAAUCUAUUAAAUAUAAAAUAAUAUUCUCUACGAAUGGUUAUGAUUAAUUUGUUAAAAAUAUGUCAAAUAAAAAUGAAUCAAUCUAUUAAAUCUCUAUUUUAUAAUCUACCAUAUUGGAACUAUUUAAAAACCAAAUUUUAUAAUUUUUUAACAUAAUUUACUAAGCAAUCAAAAGGUCCUAAAAAUGACUAUUUUAACGGCCGAUGCGGCACGUUUUUAAGUUCAACGGUAUAGAAAUAUCCAAAUUACAUGAAAAUUUAAUAGAAAAUUCUACUUAACGUCAAUAGCAAGAUCAAUAAUUUCGAUUUGAAAUUUGAGUCCUUUAUCAUUAUUUUUUAUAAGAUUUUUAUUCUCAGCCGUUCAUUUUGAGGCUACUUGUUCAUUAGGCAAAUGAAAUCAAAAAAUUAUGAAAUUUGAUUUCUAGAUAGUUCCAAUAGCGUAGAUCAUGUCUAACGGAACUGAUCGCCAAAUCGGACGUUUCAUCAUCGAAAACAACUUACAAGUAUGGAGGCCCCCGUACUUUCGAAAGUAUAGGAGCCUAUCUCUCUCUCUCUCUCUCUCUCUCUCUCUCNCGUUUUCGAUCUUAGGGUGUUCAAAUCAACGAUCCACACCGUUAAAACUAAUCUAAGGUAUUUAAAGUUUUUAGAAAUAAAAUUUUAUAUUUUUUCGACAUAGUUUACUUUAUGAUCAAACCAUUUCAAAAUUGUGAAUUUUCAAUAGCUACUAUGGCGAGUUUGGAGUUUAACGGUGUAGAAGAAUCUAAAUUUCUUCAAAUUUUGAUAGAAAAUACUUUAAACUAUCUAAAUUAAGGUUAACAUUCUUGAUCUUGAAUUUAAAAGUCCUAUACUCAAAUUUUAAAGAUUAUUCAAUUUCCACCGUCCAUUUUGACAUAAUUUAUUUACUAAGUAAACGAUGUCGAAAAAAAACUAAAAUUUUAUUCCUAAGAAUUUUAUAUACCCUAGAUCAUAUUUAACGGUGUGGAUCAUUAAUUUGAACACCCUAAGAUCGAAAAUAAAACUAUAGUACCAGAGCUCUAGUACUAUAGAUAGUAUAGUAGCCUAAUUCUAUAUAUAUAUAUAAAAUCUAUUCCCUACAGAUAGCUAUUAUCAAUUUGUUAAAAAAAAUCUCAAAUAAGAACAGUUAUGAUCAAUUUAAUAAAAAAUAACAUUCUUAUCCAUCUAUAAAUUCAAUCCUACGAACGAUUAUAAUCAAUUUGUUAAAAAAUAUCUCAAAUAAAAACAAACGGUUAUGAUCAAUUUGUUAAAAAUAGCAUUCCUAUUCAUUUAUUUUACAUUAAAAUUAAAAUUUGAGUUUAAAUUAUGAAUUAAUUUUAAUUUUUGAUAUCAAAUUUGAAUUAACAAUUAAUUUUUUUAUUACAGUAGAUCAAAAUUAAAUUUUAAAUUUUAAAGUAAAUAUGAAUUAAAUUUUGAUGCUUUUAGUUUAAAACACAUAUUUAAAUUUGAUUCAUCAAAAAUCAAAAUUAUAUAAAAAUGUUUGAUGUAUAUAAAAAAAAGGAAAAACUUCAAAAAAAACCCCAUGGUUUCGUAGUUUCUCACUUUGCCCCCCUGUGGUUUAAAAUGUAUCAAUUUGCCCCCCUGUGGUUUCUUUUUUCUCUUUUUCUUAUCAAUUUCAUUAUUUUUUUUUCUUAAAUCAGUGAUAAAGUUAAAAUUAAAGAGUACUAAAGUGAAUAUUUGAUAAAUCUAGAUGGGUAUCUGAAGUUUUUUGUAUAUAAUUUAAUAAAAUAUUAACGAAAAAGCUACCGAAAAGAUAAAAACGAAACCACAGGGGAGCAAUUUGAUACAUUUUAAACCACAGGGGAGCAAAGUGAGAAACUACGAAACCACAGGGGGGGUUUUUGAAGUUUUUCCUAAAAAAAAGAACACUGUAGGAUAUUCUAAAUAUUUUCUAAUAAAAUAUAACAUAUUAAUUUAUAAAUAUAAUUUUUAUUGUAAAAUUUUGGAUAUAUAUAAUGUACAAAUUUAUAUUAAUUUUCAACUAGUGUGUAUAUAUAGAGAGAGAGAGAGAGAGAGAGAGAGAGAGAGAGAGAGCAGGACUACUGUGCUCUUAGAAACAUGGAGGCCUCCGUGCUCCUAAACUGUUUCCGAUGAUAGAAUUUUCGAAUCGACGAUCGGCUCCGUUAGAUAUGAUCUAGCGUAUUUGAAGUUUCUUGAAAAAUAAUUUUUGCGGUUUUUCGAUAUCAUUUACCUAACAAUCGAAAGAAUUUAAUAUCAACGGCUGAAAAUAAAAAUUCUAUAAAAAUAGUGAUGUAGUACUAAAAUUUUCGAUCAGAGAUAUUGAUAAUGUUGUAUAUAGUAUAAAAAAUUUGGUAUCAAAAUUUCAUAUGAUUUGAAUAUUUCUACACCAUUAAAUGAAAACGGUAGACAUCAACCAUUAAAAAUUAUUGAUUUUGAACCCUUUCGAUCACUAGGUAAAUGAUAUCAAAAAAUCGCAAAAAUUAUUUUUUAGAAACUUCAAAUACGCUAAAUCAAGUCUAACAGAGCCGAUCGUCGAUUCGAAAAUUUUAUCAUCAAAAACGGCUUAGGAGCACAGAGGCCUCCGUGCUCCUAAAAGCACAGCAGCCCUGCUCUCUCUCUCUCUCUCUCUCUCUCUCUCUCUCUCUAUAUAUA
rnacentral:lncRNA from 1 species